GCUUACAGCAUAGCGUUAAUGCACCAGAUCCCAUUCGAACUCUGCAGUUAAGCGCACUUAGGCUGGAGUAGUAUUGGGACUUAGGCUAUUUUAUCCCACAUGCAUCAUGGGAAUUGUUCUCC
rfam:Picea glauca, whole genome shotgun sequence.